GGCUGUAGCUCAGUGGGUGGAGCAUCUGCUUUGCAUGCAGAAGGUCCUAGCUUAGCAUCUCCAGGCAGGGCUG